CCCCGCCUGGGGAGUACGGGUGAGGUAACGGCUCACCAAGGCAUCGACGGGUAGCUGGUCUGAGAGGACGAUCAGCCACACUGGGACUGAGACACGGCCCAGACUCCUACGGGAGGCAGCAGUAGGGAAUCUUGUGCAAUGGGCGAAAGCCUGACGCAGCAACGCCGCGUGGGGGAUGAAUGCCUUCGGGUUGUAAACCCCUUUCAGCAGGGACGAAAAUGACGGUACCUGCAGGAGAAGCUCCGGCCAACUACGUGCCAGCAGCCGCGGUAAUACGUAGGGAGCGAGCGUUGUCCGGAAUUAUUGGGCGUAAAGAGCUCGUAGGCGGUUCAGUAAGUCGGGUGUGAAAACUCAAGGCUCAACCUUGAGACGCCACUCGAUACUGCUGUGACUUGAGUCCGGUAGAGGAGUGUGGAAUUCCUGGUGUAGCGGUGAAAUGCGCAGAUAUCAGGAGGAACACCAGCGGCGAAGGCGGCACUCUGGGCCGGUACUGACGCUGAGGAGCGAAAGCAUGGGGAGCAAACAGGAUUAGAUACCCUGGUAGUCCAUGCCGUAAACGUUGGGCACUAGGUAUGGGAUCAUAUCAACGGAUUCCGUGCCGUAGCUAACGCAUUAAGUGCCCCGCCUGGGGAGUACGG
rnacentral:rRNA from 1 species